rnacentral:lncRNA from 7 species
UUUUUUCCAAUAUCCUCACAACAGUUGGUUUGUUAAUUUUCCAGCUUCUGCUUUUGAAACGUGGAGGUCAGGUUAUUUAUGCUGGUGAACUUGGUCGCCACUCUCACAAACUAGUUGAAUAUUUUGAGGUCCGAUCUCUUUUUCUUAUGUGUGUUCAUCGAGUUUGGGAUAUAUGUAUUGAGACUUUUAUUGAUCUCAUU